AAGCUCGUAGUUGAAUUUCGGGGUUAGUAGAUUGGUCAUGCCUCUAAUAUAUACUGAUCUCACUAAUUCCUCCUUCCUGAUAAUCCAUAAUACCAUUAAUUUGAUAUUACGGGGAAUUUGGACUGUUACUUUGAAAAAAUUAGAGUGUUUAAAGCAAGCUAACGCUUGAAUACAUUAGCAUGGAAUAAUGAAAUAGGACGUUCGAUCCUAUUUUGUUGGUUUCUAGGAUUGACGUAAUGAUUAAUAGGGAUAGUUGGG
rnacentral:rRNA from 1 species